GUGGGGAAUUUUGCGCAAUGGGGGCAACCCUGAUGGAGCAACACCGCGUGCUGGAUGAAGGCCUUCGGGUCGUAAACAGCUUUUGUAUACGAAGAAUAUGACGGUAAUAUACGAAUAAGGGUCGGCUAACUACGUGCCAGCAGCAGCGGUCAUACGUAGGACCCAAGCGUUAUCCGGAGUGACUGGGCGUAAAGAGUUGCGUAGGCGGCUUAUUAAGCGAGUAGUGAAAUCUGGUGGCUCAACCAUCAACACAUUGCUCGAACUGAUAGGCUUGAGAAUGGUAGAGGUAGUUGGAAUUUCUUGUGUAGGAGUGAAAUCCGUAGAUAUAAGAAGGAACACCAAUGGCGUAGGCAGACUACUGGACCAUUUCUGACGCUGAGGCACGAAAGCGUGGGGAGCGAACCGGAUUAGAUACCCGAGUAGUCC
rnacentral:rRNA from 1 species